rnacentral:rRNA from 1 species
GAACGCUGGCGGCAGGCCUAACACAUGCAAGUCGAGCGGCAGCACGGGAAGCUUGCUUCCUGGUGGCGAGCGGCGGACGGGUGAGUAAUGCAUAGAAAUCUGCCCGGUAGUGGGGGAUAACCUGGGGAAACCCAGGCUAAUACCGCAUACGUCCUACGGGAGAAAGCAGGGGAUCUUCGGACCUUGCGCUAUCGGAUGAGUCUAUGUCGGAUUAGCUUGUUGGUGAGGUAAUGGCUCACCAAGGCGACGAUCCGUAGCUGGUCUGAGAGGAUGAUCAGCCACAUCGGGACUGAGACACGGCCCGAACUCCUACGGGAGGCAGCAGUGGGGAAUAUUGGACAAUGGGCGAAAGCCUGAUCCAGCCAUGCCGCGUGUGUGAAGAAGGCCUUCGGGUUGUAAAGCACUUUCAGUGGGGAAGAAAGCCUUGGGGCUAAUACCCUCGAGGAAGGACAUCACCCACAGAAGAAGCACCGGCUAACUCCGUGCCAGCAGCCGCGGUAAUACGGAGGGUGCGAGCGUUAAUCGGAAUUACUGGGCGUAAAGCGCGCGUAGGCGGUCUGAUAAGCCGGUUGUGAAAGCCCCGGGCUCAACCUGGGAACGGCAUCCGGAACUGUCAGGCUAGAGUGCAGGAGAGGAAGGUAGAAUUCCCGGUGUAGCGGUGAAAUGCGUAGAGAUCGGGAGGAAUACCAGUGGCGAAGGCGGCCUUCUGGACUGACACUGACGCUGAGGUGCGAAAGCGUGGGUAGCAAACAGGAUUAGAUACCCUGGUAGUCCACGCCGUAAACGAUGUCGACUAGCCGUUGGGCUCCUUGAGAGCUUUGUGGCGCAGUUAACGCGAUAAGUCGACCGCCUGGGGAGUACGGCCGCAAGGUUAAAACUCAAAUGAAUUGACGGGGGCCCGCACAAGCGGUGGAGCAUGUGGUUUAAUUCGAUGCAACGCGAAGAACCUUACCUACCCUUGACAUCGUGCGAACUUUCCAGAGAUGGAUUGGUGCCUUCGGGAACGCACAGACAGGUGCUGCAUGGCUGUCGUCAGCUCGUGUUGUGAAAUGUUGGGUUAAGUCCCGUAACGAGCGCAACCCUUGUCCUUAUUUGCCAGCGAGUAAUGUCGGGAACUCUAAGGAGACUGCCGGUGACAAACCGGAGGAAGGUGGGGACGACGUCAAGUCAUCAUGGCCCUUACGGGUAGGGCUACACACGUGCUACAAUGGCCGGUACAAAGGGUUGCGAAGCCGCGAGGUGGAGCUAAUCCCGAAAAGCUGGUCUCAGUCCGGAUCGGAGUCUGCAACUCGACUCCGUGAAGUCGGAAUCGCUAGUAAUCGUGAAUCAGAAUGUCACGGUGAAUACGUUCCCGGGCCUUGUACACACCGCCCGUCACACCAUGGGAGUGGACUGCACCAGAAGUGGUUAGCCUAACUUCGGAGGGCGAUCACCACGGUGUGGUUCAUGACUGGGGUGAA